UACGGGGGGGGCAAGCGUUGUUCGGAAUUACUGGGCGUAAAGGGUGCGUAGGCGGCUUUCUAAGUCGGAUGUGAAACCUCUGGGCUCAACCCAGAGCCUGCAUCCGAAACUGGAGGGCUUGGGUUCUGGAGGGGAAAGCGGAAUUCCUGGUGUAGCGGUGAAAUGCGUAGAUAUCAGGAGGAACACCGGUGGCGAAGGCGGCUUUCUGGACAGAUACCGACGCUGAGGCACGAAAGCUAGGGGAGCAAACAGG
rnacentral:rRNA from 1 species